CCUAUAGUACAACACAGAUUAGGCCCAUAACACUAAGCCCAACAAGCCCAAUGAACCCUGGUUUAUUUAUUUACCAUCAACAGCACACCAACUACCCUUAGCUUCAGACCCUUCCCAAACGCUGCCUGUCCCAAGCCGCCUUCUUCUCUCUUGCUUCCUGCCAGGCUACCACUGCUCCCACAUAGCUGAGAGAGAUGCUAUGAAUGGGAGCAAGCUUCCCUUUUUUAUAGACCUCAAGGGAAGUUCUUCAAUUGCGGUUUGGGAGUUGGAUGGCAACUAACAUUGGUGAACAUAGGCGGCAGUGGUGGUGCUGACUUCAAUCUUCCAGCGUUUCCGGCGAGGCGGUGGUGGUGGUGGAGAGGGCAUAGGGUGCUGUUCCUGUUAAAAUCUAAUCCAAGUGGAGUUGGCUAAUGGUAUUAUUUGUUGACAUUCCCAGUGAUUUACAGAGUGUUUUUGAUGGUUGGUGUCUUAAUUGAUUUUUCCUUGGAAAAGAAAUUGUCUGCUUUGCUGAGAGUUGAUGCCUUUGGAGCAUCUCUGGUCUCACCCGCUUUAGAGCCCUUCUUUUCUUUACCACCCCCAGCAGCAAAUGUCCUGCAGCCCAGCACCCUGACUGCCUCCCCUGUGAUGAUGAAACUUCUCAUUGAUUUUAUGCAGUUCAUUGCCAUGUCUUUUCCCUGCAAAAAUAUUUUACAAAAUCAUCAAUAGUUCAAGGUUCAAUUUCAACGUAACAUGCUUCCUUUAAUACCCCAUAUCCACCACUUUGUAAUACGCCACUGCUAUACUCUACAAUGCGGCAAUAGACUACAAAUCCCUUUAAUGAGUUGGGCAAAGCAGUAGGGACUCAAGCAGUAGUCUCUCUACCAGUGCAUCACCAUUCCAACAACACAACCAAUUGUGGUCUUCAAAUCUAGCAUAUCUUGCAAUGUUCAUCUAUCGCAUCCUUCCCUAGAGGCAGAUUUGUCUGUCCCUUAAAUCUAUUAGGGUUGGUGAUUGUGCACAGCUGCAGCGAAUUUCAGAGGAGAUGUUUCACCACAAUAAUAAUGCUCUUGAAGAUUUGAACAUCUUGGGGUAUCCCAAUCUCAGAAUCAUACCAGAUUGCCUCUACAACCUCAAAGAUCUUCAGAUCGGAAAAUGUGAGAAUCUGGAGCUGCAGCCUCAUCAAUUGCAAGGCCUCACUUAUCUUACUUCACUCAAGAUCACUAAUUGUGAGAAUAUCAAGAUGCCCUUAUCAGAAUGGGGCCUUGCCAGGUCGACCUCUCUUAAAACUCUCACCAUUUCUGAUUAUCACCACCACCACUCAUUGCUUCUUCCUACUACUCUAGCUGAGCUUUUCAUUUCAAGCUUCAAGAAUCUGUAAUCCUUGGCUUUCCUGUCUCUCCAAAGGCUCACCUCUCUUAAAAGGCUAUGCAUCUCCAGUUGUCCUAAUCUCCAGGGCUGUUUAACAUGCUUUCAGAACUAUUUAUAACAUAUUGACCACUCCUAAUUCAAAGGUGCUCAAAAGAGAAACGGGAAGAUUGGCCCAAGAUUGCCCACAUCCCCUAUGUGAAAAUAGAUGACAGAUUGAUCCUUUAGCAAUAAGGAGUUGAGAUUGCAGCAAAAUGUACGCAGAGACCAUUCCACUAUAUAUAUAUAUAUAUAUAUAUAUAUAUAUAUAUAUAUAUGCUUGGUAUUUUUUCUUCAGUGUGCCACAAUUCCUUUUUGUGCACAUUGGAUGUGAAGGAGAAAAUAAUGCAAAUGGAAUCCAAUUCUCUAACCAGAGGUUCAGCCAAUCAAAUUGAGUAUACUCUAUUUCAUUCAUAUCUUUUUUGACUUUAUGCAUUUCAAUUGCGUUGUCCUCAAGAAGCAUUCUUUUCUCAUAUAUCUCUAUAUAAAGUUCCGCAUUUUUUUUCCUUACGUGUUCAUAGAUAUGCAUUUAUCAACUUAGGCCAUGUUCUUAAUGCUUUUAAACCUAUGAUUUCACAUUUUCCCAUCACAGGAUUGGACCAUAUCUUUAUAAUUUUCCAUUAAUCAUCAUCUUUGUUCAACUCAAAGGUUUUUCAAGUGAGUAAUAAAGACUACAAAUGGUUAGAUAUCACUUUUUUCUUUGUCCUCUUGAUUGCCAUGCUUCUCUAUUUGGAAUUGGAUUCUUCUGUUUGUAACUUAUUUUUCGUUACAUUUUUAAUUGCAUUCCUUCUUACAAUAAUUCAGGAUUGACCUUUUCUCAAAAAUAAUUGUUCUUCUUCUUAGUCUCCUCUUCAGUUAAUGUAAGCAUCAAAUUUCUAUCUCUUUGUUAUAUAUGUCUUCCUUUUUCUCAUUACAUAUACAUGAGGAAGAUUUUUUGACUUCCAUUAUAAGUUUUCAAUAACUAUGUUUGCAUUUCUUUUUAUUUCAAGGAGAUUCAGGGGUGAAAAUUCUUUUGCAUUUGUCUUGACAUUUGGCGCUUAAAACUCUACAAUGGUGUUUGGUGUUGAAAAAGGGGUACUUCAUUGCAGAAUAAUGAAAGUGUAAAUAGUUCUUUACCAUCAAAAAAGGCUUCAUGGUUGUUAAGAUCCAUCUAAUUCCUUGUCCUUUUCUUGACAUGUUGUUCAAUUUGUGGAAGAUGUGGGAGGAGAGCUUGAAUCAAAUUAAGCCAACUCCUUGCAAAAGACGAAUUCUUGCUAAGAAACCUCACCACUCGCAAGUUCUUUCUUAUCCAAGAAUUCUACAGCAGACCUCUCUGUCUUGCUUGAGUUCAAGCAGAGCUUUCUGAUUGGUCAGCAUGCUUCUGAUGAUCCUUCUGCUUAUCCGAAAGUUGCAGCUUGGAAAUCUGAAGGAGAUGGUAGUGACUGCUGCUCAUGGGAUGUCUUAAGAGUGUGACAAGGACACUGGCCAUGUGAUCCGCCUUAACCUUGGCAGCAGCUGUCCCUAUGGUUCUAUCAACUUCAGCAGCGCCUUCUUCCACCUUGUGCAUCUUCAAGGGCAUGAUCUCUCUAAUAAUGAUUUCAAUUACUCUAUGAUCCCAUCAGGAGUUGUCCAGCUUUUGAGUCUUAAGAAGUCUAAAUGACACCUCUCCUGGAUUCUCCGGCCAAAUCCCAUUGGAUUUCUUUGCACUGUCCAAACUGAUUGUCCUUGAUCUCUCACAAAAUCCAUUGAAGCACCAGUAACCUGACCUUGCUUCAGAUUCAGGGGUGAGAAGCAUUUCCUCCUUGUAAUACAAAAUGCUUUUGGGAAGCUGGUUGUAGCAUUCCUGGUGAAUGGUGUUUUGCUCUGUCAACUUGGUACACUUUCAGACUUGUUCUCUUGCA